AAUAGAUACCCUGGUAGUCCACCCCGUAAACGUUGGGAACUAGUUGUGGGGACCAUUCCACGGUUUCCGUGACGCAGCUAACGCAUUAAGUUCCCCGCCUGGGGAGUACGGCCGCAAGGCUAAAACUCAAAGGAAUUGACGGGGACCCGCACAAGCGGCGGAGCAUGCGGAUUAAUUCGAUGCAACGCGAAGAACCUUACCAAGGCUUGACAUAUACGAGAACGGGCCAGAAAUGGUCAACUCUUUGGACACUCGUAAACAGGUGGUGCAUGGUUGUCGUCAGCUCGUGUCGUGAGAUGUUGGGUUAAGUCCCGCAACGAGCGCAACCCUCGUUCUAUGUUGCCAGCACGUAAUGGUGGGAACUCAUGGGAUACUGCCGGGGUCAACUCGGAGGAAGGUGGGGAUGACGUCAAAUCAUCAUGCCCCUUAUGUCUUGGGCUUCACGCAUGCUACAAUGGCCGGUACAAAGGGCUGCAAUACCGUAAGGUGAGCGAAUCCCAAAAAGCCGGUCCCAGUUCGGAUUGAGGUCUGCAACUCGACCUCA
rnacentral:rRNA from 1 species